rnacentral:rRNA from 1 species
AAUAGAUACCCAGGUAGUCCACGCCGUAAACGAUGGAUGCUAGCUAUUGGGGGGAAUCGACCCCCUCCGAAGCGAAGCUAACGCGUUAAGCAUCCCGCCUGAGUAGUACGAGCGCAAGCUUAAAACUCAAAGGAAUUGACGGGGACCCGCACAAGCGGUGGAGCGUGUGGUUUAAUUCGAUGGUAAACGAAGAACCUUACCAAGGUUUGACAUCCCGGUAGCCGUUCUCCGAAAGGAGAAUUUCAUUUAGUUGGACCGGUGACAGGUGAUGCAUGGCCGUCGUCAGCUCGUGUCGUGAGAUGUUGGGUUAAGUCCCGCAACGAGCGCAACCCUUAUGAUUUAGUUGGAUUUUUCUAAACAGACUGCCCUGGUAACAGGGAGGAAGGAGGGGAUGAUGUCAGGUCAGUAUUUCCCUUACACCUUGGGCGACACACGCGCUACAAUGGCCGGUACAAUGGGCAGCUAAGCCGCGAGGUGGAGCAAAUCCCAUCAAAGCCGGUCCCAGUUCGGAUUGCAGGCUGAAACCCGCUGCAUGAAGCCGGAAUCGCUAGUAACC